rnacentral:rRNA from 1 species
UCCGUUUUAUAAUGCUGCGGUCUAUCAUGCAAGUCGAGCGGACAGAUGGGAGCUUGCUCCCUGAAGUCAGCGGCGGACGGGUGAGUAACACGUGGGCAACCUGCCUGUAAGACUGGGAUAACUCCGGGAAACCGGGGCUAAUACCGGAUAAUUCUUUCCCUCACAUGAGGGAAAGCUGAAAGAUGGUUUCGGCUAUCACUUACAGAUGGGCCCGCGGCGCAUUAGCUAGUUGGUGAGGUAACGGCUCACCAAGGCAACGAUGCGUAGCCGACCUGAGAGGGUGAUCGGCCACACUGGGACUGAGACACGGCCCAGACUCCUACGGGAGGCAGCAGUAGGGAAUCUUCCGCAAUGGACGAAAGUCUGACGGAGCAACGCCGCGUGAGUGAUGAAGGUUUUCGGAUCGUAAAACUCUGUUGUUAGGGAAGAACAAGUACCGGAGUAACUGCCGGUACCUUGACGGUACCUAACCAGAAAGCCACGGCUAACUACGUGCCAGCAGCCGCGGUAAUACGUAGGUGGCAAGCGUUGUCCGGAAUUAUUGGGCGUAAAGCGCGCGCAGGCGGUUCCUUAAGUCUGAUGUGAAAGCCCCCGGCUCAACCGGGGAGGGUCAUUGGAAACUGGGGAACUUGAGUGCAGAAGAGAAGAGUGGAAUUCCACGUGUAGCGGUGAAAUGCGUAGAGAUGUGGAGGAACACCAGUGGCGAAGGCGACUCUUUGGUCUGUAACUGACGCUGACGCGCGAAAGCGUGGGGAGCAAACAGGAUUAUAUACCCUGGUAGUCCACGCCGUAAACC